AAUAAUACAUAUUAGAAGAGUUGACAUUUCUUCUUAAACAUAUUUCAAAAUAAUACUUAUAAGUUGUCUUUAAAAUUUCUAUACAUUAAUAAAUUAUAAGGUUAAACGGAUUAUUUUAUAUUUCAUAGAGACUGUCCGCAUUCUCUCCCUUCCAUUCUUUGUAACCCAAUCAAAAUCAUCGACGGUCGUCUGCUUAACUGCUAGAAAUCUAGGUUAUUUUCGUCGUCACAAAUUAACAGAACAUGUUUGUUAUUGAUAUUUUUAAUUUUGCAGAUAAGUUUGCCGAGUUUUACUGAAUCUGUUCAGCAUGGUCAGCAAAUUGGUGCCAAACAACUUCAAUACACUUCAGUUAUGAGCCAAGCAGAGGAGAGGCGUUCCAGCAAGGACUCAAAUAAAGCUAGAAAUGGCAAUGCAUGUCAGAUGGUGAUCUUAUAUAUUCAUGUAUAAUGAACAGAACUGAUUUCUGACAUUGCCCAAUAUAGCCAAAAAAGGCCACAGAGAUUCUUUGUUCAGGACAUCACAAGUGCACAUUUCUAAUAGGCUAGACGAAAUUUCUCCCCAGGAAAAAAAAAAUCACCAGCUUUUACAAGCCAAGACGAUCUGCAUAUAGAGGAAAUGAAUACUGAAGGAACACUUGAUUUUUCUGCCCAAUGUCUUGGUGUUGGAGACUGGGGAGGUCCUUUGAGUUUGAUAUCUGCAUAACAAUGGUGAGAGAUGACAUGAGAAGAGGCAUCUCUCUCUGUCUUAAAGGAGACAGACUACAGAUUGUUAUAGUUGCAAUAAUCACAAUGAAGCAGACUCAGAUGGAUAUUGAUGUUCUUCAGGCAACUUACUACACGGGUGCCUUGUUCUUUUGUCUCAUGAAGCAACUAACUAUGCUUUGUACACGAGCUGGCAAUUACCUAUGUUUUGCACAUAAGCUGAAGUUGACACUAAGAGCAGAUCAGAAGUUGAAAUCGAUGUUGUUUUUGUUAAAUUCUAGUUAGCAUGUGGACACUGUGAUUUUAGGAACUUCCGUUGAGGAUCUAAAACUGUAGUUAUAAAACUUGAUUUACUUGACAUGUUGUUUGAAAACAAGAUUUUUGAGAUUAAUUGGUACUACAAGGAUCGUGAAAGAAAAUACAUUGUAUUGCUCAAUAUUUUUAUCUGUGUCGAAACCAGGUUUGAUUGUUUGUUUUAAAUGAAAUUCUAAAUAUUAUGCAA